rnacentral:rRNA from 1 species
UACACUCCUACGGGAGGCAGCAGUGGGGAAUAUUGCACAAUGGGCGCAAGCCUGAUGCAGCGACGCCGCGUGGGGGAUGAAGGCCUUCGGGUUGUAAACUCCUUUCGCUAGGGACGAAGCUUUUUUGUGACGGUACCUAGAUAAGAAGCACCGGCUAACUACGUGCCAGCAGCCGCGGUAAUACGUAGGGUGCGAGCGUUGUCCGGAAUUACUGGGCGUAAAGGGCUCGUAGGUGGUUUGUCGCGUCGUCUGUGAAAUUCUGGGGCUUAACUCCGGGCGUGCAGGCGAUACGGGCAUAACUUGAGUGCUGUAGGGGUAACUGGAAUUCCUGGUGUAGCGGUGAAAUGCGCAGAUAUCAGGAGGAACACCGAUGGCGAAGGCAGGUUACUGGGCAGUUACUGACGCUGAGGAGCGAAAGCAUGGGUAGCGAACAGGAUUAGAUACCCUGGUAGUCCCAUGAU